rnacentral:rRNA from 1 species
UGAGGAAUAUUGGUCAAUGGACGAGAGUCUGAACCAGCCAAGUAGCGUGCAGGAUGACGGCCCUAUGGGUUGUAAACUGCUUUUGUUUGGGAAUAAUCGACAUUACGUAUAAUGUUUUUCAUGUACCAUCCGAAUAAGGAGCGGCUAAUUCCGUGCCAGCAGCCGCGGUAAUACGGAAGGUCCAGGCGUUAUCCGGAUUUAUUGGGUUUAAAGGGAGUGUAGGCGGUUGGUUAAGCGUGUUGUGAAAUGUAGAUGCUAAACAUCUGACUUGCAGCGCGAACUGGCUGACUUGAGUACACAAAAGGUAGGCGGAAUUCAUGGUGUAGCGGUGAAAUGCUUAGAUAACAUGAAGAACUCCAGUUGCGAAGGCAGCUUACGGGGGUGUUACUGACGCUUAAGCACGAAGGUGCGGGUAUCGAACAGG